CCUACGGGGGACAGCAGUCGAGAAUCAUUCACAAUGGGGGAAACCCUGAUGGUGCGACGCCGCGUGGGGGAAUGAAGGUCUUCGGAUUGUAAACCCCUGUCAUGUGGGAGCAAAUUAAAAAGAUAGUACCACAAGAGGAAGAGACGGCUAACUCUGUGCCAGCAGCCGCGGUAAUACAGAGGUCUCAAGCGUUGUUCGGAAUCACUGGGCGUAAAGGGUGCGUAGGCUGUUUCGUAAGUCGUGUGUGAAAGGCGCGGGCUCAACCCGCGGACGGCACAUGAUACUGCGAGACUAGAGUAAUGGAGGGGGAACCGGAAUGCUCGGUGUAGCAGUGAAAUGCGUAGAUAUCGAGAGGAACACUCGUGGCGAAGGCAGGUUCCUGGACAUUAACUGACGCUGAGGCACGAAGGCCAGGGGAGCGAAAGGGAUUAGAUACCCGGGUAGUC
rnacentral:rRNA from 1 species